GACGAACGCUGGCGGCGUGCUUAACACAUGCAAGUCGAACGGAAAGGCCCUGCUUUUGUGGGGUGCUCGAGUGGCGAACGGGUGAGUAACACGUGAGUAACCUGCCCUUGACUUUGGGAUAACUUCAGGAAACUGGGGCUAAUACCGGAUAGGAGCUCCUGCUGCAUGGUGGGGGUUGGAAAGUUUCGGCGGUUGGGGAUGGACUCGCGGCUUAUCAGCUUGUUGGUGGGGUAGUGGCUUACCAAGGCUUUGACGGGUAGCCGGCCUGAGAGGGUGACCGGCCACAUUGGGACUGCGAUACGGCCCAGACUCCUACGGGAGGCAGCAGUGGGGAAUAUUGCACAAUGGGCGGAAGCCUGAUGCAGCAACGCCGCGUGCGGGAUGACGGCCUUCGGGCUGUAAACCGCUUUCGCCUGUGACGAAGCGUGAGUGACGGUAAUGGGUAAAGAAGCACCGGCUAACUACGUG
rnacentral:rRNA from 1 species